GACGGCGCUUCGGAGUGCAAAGUGCAAACGAUGUCGAACCCGUAAAAUGCUCUCUUCAUUGUGACGCUGCUCUCUAGUGACACACCUGGAAUAUGAACCAUCAGCAGAAUAAGGGAUGUUUGGACACCCGGUCAUCAGAAGCAGAGCUGUAGGAAGUGUGGACAGACAUUGACUGUAAUGAUGGACUUUUGCUGAUGGACAGAAUAAGAGAUGUGUUUGGAGCGUUACACCCAGAGACGUGUGGACAGACAUUCGCUGUAAUGAUGGACAUCUGCUCAUGGAUGGAAUAAGGGAUGUUUGGACACCCAGUCAUCAGAAGCAGAGCUGUAGGAAGUGUGGACAGACAUUGCCUGUAAUGAUGGACUUCUGCUGAUGGACAGGCAGAAAAGCAUAACCACUGCUGGACAUCGUACCGUGGCUUGGGGGGGGACCCGAAUCAUCCCCACCCCUUCACACUCACACCAUUCACUCAUAUCGCUGAGAUCUGGCUGGGAUCAAACCAGCAACCUCUGAACCUGUGAGGCAGCGCUCUUAACCUGUGAGCCACAGAUCUCUUGUCUGAACAUGUGCAGGAACUUAUAUUUCACUGUUAUCCUGACCUGUGAUUUACAAUAAACUAGUUAAAGCUUUCAGUUGCGUGAUUGAGGUGGGAUUUGAACCCAAGCCUCCAUCACAGACUCAGCUCCAGAGAACGAGAACGUGUUUUAGCCACUUGUGCCACUGUGACUUUCGUAUUGCAAUUGGGCAAUUGGGCAUUUGGGCCAUUUUGUUGGCUAUAAUGGUAACAAUUUAAUGUUAGCAAUAGUAGGAUUUGAAUCCAUCUCUCUAUUGAUGCCUCAGCACCAAAGAGCAUGUGCUUAACCACUUGUGCCACUGUGGCUUUCAUGUUGAGUGCUGGUGUUUGGGCCACUUUGUUAGAUAUAAUACCAACCAUGUAACAUAGGCAAUAGUGGGAUUUGAACCCACACCUCGAUUGCAGUCUCAUCAUAAGCAAACAUGCGUUUAGCCACUUGUGCCACUGUGACUUUCACACUGAGCUCUAGCAUCUGGGCCACUUUGUUGGAUAUAAUGCCAACAAUUUACUGUUAGCAAUAGUGAGAUUUGAACCCACGUCUCUAUCGCAGUCUUGCCACCAGAGAACAUGUGUUAAGCCACUUGUGCCAUUGUGACUUUCACACUGAGUGUUGGUGUUUGGGCCAUUUUGUUGGAUAUAAUUCCAACAAUUUAAUGUUAACAAUAGUGGGAUUUGAACCCAAGCCUCCAUCGCAGUCUCACCACCAGAGAACGAGAACGUGUUUUAGCCACUUGUGCCACUGUGACUUUCACACUGAAUGCUGCGAUUUGGGCUGUUUUGUUGGAUAUAAUGCCAACAAUUUACUGUUAGCAAUAGUGAGAUUUGAACCCAAGCCUCCAUCGCAGUCUCACCACCAGAGAACAUGUGUUUAACCACGUGUGCCAUUGUGACUUUCACACUGAAUAUUGGUGUUUGGGCCGUUUUGUUGGAUAUAAUUCCAACAAUUUAAUGUUAGCAAUAGUGAGAUUUGAACCCAAGCCUCCAUCGUAGUCUCAUCACCAGAGAACGUGUGUUUAGCCACUUGUGCCACUAUGACUUUCACACUGAAUAUUGGUGUUUGGGCCGUUUUGUUGGAUAUAAUGCCAACAAUUUACUGUUAGCAAUAGUGAGAUUUGAACCCAAGCCUCCAUCGCAGUCUCACCACCAGAGAACAUGUGUUUAACCACGUGUGCCAUUGUGACUUUCACACUGAAUAUUGGUGUUUGGGCCGUUUUGUUGGAUAUAAUUCCAACAAUUUAAUGUUAGCAAUAGUAGGAUUUGAACCCAAGCCUCCAUCGCAGUCUCAUCACCAGAGAACGUGUGUUUAGCCACUUGUGCCACUGUGACUUUCACACUGAAUGUUGGUGUUUGGGCCGUUUUGUUGGAUAUAAUGCCAACUAUUUAAUGUUAGCAAUAGUGGGACUGGAACUCAGGUCUCCAUGAUUAAAGCACAAUGUUUCAUCACCUGUUUUAUCAACUUGGUGGGAUUUGAACACAGGGCAACUUGUUUAAAUUCCAAGCCUCUGUCUAAAGACACUGAGCUUUAUGUGUUCAGUUUGUAUCUGGAAACUGUCUUGGGCCACUUUGUUGGAUAUAAUGCCAACAACUUCACAUAAGUAACAGGAAGAUUAACAAAUACCAAAUGUACACACAAUCAGAAGAACUUUAUUAAUUUUUUACAUGUCAAUUUCAAACUGAAACACACACAUGACUAGUAAAUAUAAUUUGUUUAUUCAAGUAAAUAGAUUUGAUAUGAAUUAGAAACACAGAGAUCAACACACCUGCCUGGAAGUUUCUAGUAAAGCUGAAGACCUUGAUUAGCUGCUUCAGGUGUUUUUAAUGAGGUUGGAGCUAAACUCAGGAAAGUGGCUCACCCAGGAGCAGGAUUAGACAGACAGCCCUGCUUUAUUUCUCUCCUCCGACUGCUGUUUUCAUAUAUUAAUGCAGAUACACUUAUCGUCCACAAGGGGGAGACACACUGAUCUCAGAGGACUCUUAGAUUCACCUCCUCCUCAUCAGAGACACAGAAGA